GGUGCAUGGCUGUCGUCAGCUCGUGUCGUGAGAUGUUGGGUUAAGUCCCGCAACGAGCGCAACCCUCGUUUUUAGUUGCCAGCAUUAAGUUGGGCACUCUAGAGAGACUGCCGGUGACAAACCGGAGGAAGGUGGGGAUGACGUCAAGUAGCAUGCCCCUUACGUCUUGGGCUACACACGUACUACAAUGCUACGGACAAAGGGCAGCUACACAGCGAUGUGAUGCAAAUCCAAGAAACCGUAGCUCAGUUCAGAUCGAAGGCUGCAACUCGCCUUCGUGAAGGAGGAAUCGCUAGUAAUUGCAGGUCAGCAUACUGCAGUGAAUUCGUUCCCGGGCCUUGUACACACCGCCCGUCACACCAUGGAAGCUGGUCACGCCC
rnacentral:rRNA from 1 species